CACAAGACUCCACUAAAACAGGACCGUUAGAAGUCAAAGAUUGUGCUCACUAUGUCUUGGCAAAGAAGAAAGCUUCUCUAAAAUCACAUCGUGACUCCUUAUGGGACGGAAAGAGUGUUUUAAAACCAUAUUAUUGAAAAAAAUCAUUAUCAAAAUCAUGAAAAUCAGACCUGCUAAUGGGCACCCUAAAUUUUUUUUGACUUCAACCACUAAAUGAUGCAUAAACCCAGUCAAAUAAGCUCACAACUGCAAGUGUCAGCGAAAAAUAAAUGCACACAGGUACUCCACAGGUUUGGUGACGUUGAACUUGUCCAUGGUGGAGAUGAUGAUGGCAGGGGUGGUGAGGAAGAAGAGCAAGAUGAAGAGAAAGCAGUUGAUGACAAAGCAGCGGAGCCACC